UACGACUACAUAUCAGGCAUAUCAAUAAGCGGAGGAAAAGAAACUAACUAGGAUUCCCUCAGUAACGGCGAGUGAAGCGGGAAGAGCUCAAAUUUGAAAUCUUCAAGGUUUUACCUUGACGAAUUGUAGUUUAAAGAAGUGUUUUCUGUUGGUGUUUUGGUAAAAGUUCUUUGGAAUAGGACAUCAUAGAGGGUGAGAAUCCCGUAUUUGACCAUUACUUCCAGCGUUGUGAUACACUUUCAAAGAGUCGGAUUGUUUGGGAAUGCAGUCCAAGAUGGGUGGUAAAUUUCAUCUAAAGCUAAAUAUUGGCGAGAGACCGAUAGCGAACAAGUACCGUGAGGGAAAGAUGAAAAGAACUUUGAAAAGAGAGUUAAACAGUACGUGAAAUUGUCAAAAGGGAAGCGUUUGACACCAGUGUUGUUUUCUCGAAAAUCAAUUAAAAAGUAUGGGAUUUUGUAUUGUUAAGACCUUAUCAGCUUACGGUACUUUUUUCUUAUUCUUUUUAAUGCACUUUUCGUUUAACAAGUCAACAUCAAUUUCUUUUGUUGUAAAAGAGUCAUUGGAAGGUGGCUUUCACUUCGGUGAAAGUGUUUAUAGCCUUUGGCUUCUGCAAUCGGAGAGAUUGAGGUCUGCAGCGUAGAUCCUUCGGGGUUAGAUACGUAGAUGCUAAGUUAUAGUUUUUCAUAGACAACUUGUUGACUAUGAUUAAUCAUGUAGCUUACUCGUUUGCGCUAUUUUACCUACGCUUAGGAUGUUGAAUCUGUGCGAGACUAC
rnacentral:rRNA from 1 species